CUAUUACCAAUCGGCAGAGGUGCCCUCCGGCCCGGAUGCCAGGGCUGAAAGACGAAGCCGGUGCAAGUCCGGCACUGUCCCGCAACUGUAACCGCGGUCAAUGCAUCGUCUCGCGAAUCAAGUGUGGCUGCGGAAGUCAGGUCGAUCGCCUCUGCCCCGUGGACCGA
rnacentral:ncRNA from 2 species